CCGUUUCGGUGUGCGCCGCGUAAUCUGGCAACUCGUUCGGUCGGCCGGUGGUUUAUUCCGGUAGUUUUUUGGGUGUGUAUGUGUGUGUACGCUCCCUUGGGAUUGAUUGGAGCACAGGCUUAGUGUCAAGUACUAGUACUAUCUAGUUUGUUCUGUGGUCGGGCUACGAGAUUUGAUUUGGAAAUUGGUGUGACCCGACGGACGAACAUCAAGUUUGGGAGGCAACAGAUUUGUGAACAUCAAUUUUAGCUGAUUAGUUCCACGUUUUCCGAGGUUUAGGCACUUGCAGUUUUCGUAUCCUGAACCUGAGGGCACUGGGAAAGCAGGAAUGCCUGUAUUCUUUUUCN
rnacentral:lncRNA from 1 species